rnacentral:rRNA from 1 species
GAUGAACGCUGGCGGCGUGCCUAAUACAUGCAAGUCGAGCGAACAGACGAGGAGCUUGCUCCUCGGACGUUAGCGGCGGACGGGUGAGUAACACGUGUAUAACCUACCUAUAAGACUGGGAUAACUUCGGGAAACCGGAGCUAAUACCGGAUAAUAUAUUGAACCGUAUGGUUCAAUAGUGAAAGACGGUUUUGCUGUCACUUAUAGAUGGAUCCGCGCCGCAUUAGCUAGUUGGUAAGGUAACGGCUUACCAAGGCAACGAUGCGUAGCCGACCUGAGAGGGUGAUCGGCCACACUGGAACUGAAACACGGUCCAGACUCCUACGGGAGGCAGCAGUAGGGAAUCUUCCGCAAUGGGCGAAAGCCUGACGGAGCAACGCCGCGUGGGUGAUGAAGGUCUUCGGAUCGUAAAACUCUGUUAUUAGGGAAGAACAAAUGUGUAAGUAACUAUGCACGUCUUGACGGUACCUAAUCAGAAAGCCACGGCUAACUACGUG